AUGGAAGUCUGCAUGGUCGUUCAUGCCCCUGCAUCUCCGUCCGGCGCCUCUGCUGAACCACAAAACUCCCCCGGCCACCGCGAUUCCUCCCCAAAAUGCUCGGUAGAGAUGCACUUGAUGGAGCAACCAGAUUCCAUGGUUGAGUUUGCUCACCAUACUACGGAUGAAGAGAACGUGCAAGGCGACAACAUGGUUGAGUUUGUUCCAGAUACAAUUAAUCAGGAGGUAGAAGAGUCUCCUGAUGAAGAACGGAGCAGCGAUGUCUCAAUAACCGAUGUCGAUGAAGACUCUAUUGAGUACCUGCGUAGGCAAGUUGUCGAAGACUCCGAGGAAGAAGACAAGCAAGAGGAAGUAUACCAGAAGGUCCGGAAGGAAUUUAAUGAAAGACGUGCUAGUGAUGCUGCAUUGAGGAGGGAAGCAAGAGCCAGGAAUGCAUCUAGGCAUAAGAGUAAUCUGAACAAAAUACGUAGAGACUUUUUGCGAAUUUAUAUUCCUGACUACUACAAGAUGGUGGAAAAAUAA
rnacentral:rRNA from 1 species